GCCAGGGUAGCUCAGAGGUAGAGCAGGGGACUCAUAAGCCCUUGGUCGAGAGUUCAAUUCUCUCCCCUGGUACCA
rnacentral:tRNA from 1 species